AGACAAGUUAUCUCCCAUUUCUAAAAUUCUGUUCCUUUACACAGGCCUUUAUUUAGAUGUUUUCUUUAGCAACUAUUAAAAACCCUAGUAUGUUUAUUUUAUUCUUUUUUUAAAAAUAAACCUGGUGUCUUAAAGUGCUUUAGUGAGAUAAUUAGGCCCUCAGUGAGGACAGUAUAUCUAUUAGGUUGACUGUAGACACCAACAUUAGCCUCCAUUGCUAAUUUGCAGUUCACAGGUUAAUGGCCUAGUCAUUUUGUUAGACAGAUAUGCUUUGCCACUUAGUGUCUUCAAAAACUAAACAGGGAAACUGAGAAGACAUUGUGAUAGGCUGUUAUUUUUGAAGGUUGCAGUUCUCUUUGUUGGUCAAGUUGUGGACAACACCCUGUUCAAGCUACACAUAGAGGAGCCGUGAGCAACUCUCUGAUGCUGUGUAUCCUAAAGUUGGCUUCCCAGAUGCCACUGGAGAACACCACGGUUCAGCAGAUGGUUUUUAUGCUUCUUUCAAACCUGGCCUUGUCGCAUGACUGUAAAGGAGUAAUUCAGAAGAGUAACUUCUUACAGAACUUCCUCUCUCUAGCAUUGCCAAAAGGAGGAAAUAAACAUCUAAGUAAUCUGACUAUUCUUUGGUUGAAGUUACUCCUGAAUAUAUCAUCUGGAGAAGAUGGGCAACAAAUGAUUCUGAGGCUUGAUGGCUGUCUAGACUUACUAACAGAGAUGAGCAAAUACAAGCACAAGAGCAGCCCUUUAUUGCCUCUUCUUAUCUUUCAUAAUGUUUGCUUCAGUCCUGCAAAUAAACCCAAGAUCCUGGCUAAUGAAAAAGUCAUU
rnacentral:lncRNA from 1 species